rnacentral:lncRNA from 1 species
AUUUUUCUGUGCCUUGUUGGGAAUUGUAUGCAGAUAGUAUUAAUCCUUUACCAUCUGAGAACUGCUCUAACGCAAUCAACCAGUGUAUGAAUUGGAUCGUGUUCCUGUCCUGCUAAUCAUUCACAUGUAAUGGGUACUUUUGAGUGUCAGGGAAAAUGCGGAUCUAGUGUAGCUGUAGCAGUUAAACUUUAGUACGCUGCUUUCCAUCUUGUCGACACGAACACACUUUUCAGAAUAUCUUAGACUAGUCUGAGUCAUAAUUGUUGAUGGCAGAGGCUAAGAAAGACAGUAAAGGGACUUUCAAGGGACUUCAAGGAUUCAAUAACGUUUUUUUCAGGACAAGCAGCCAACGAGUUCUCACGGCGUGACGUGGAUGCAUCGGAGAAAAAGACGUGCAAGGGAAUAAACGCCCGUUUCAAGGAACCAACCUGUGUCUUGUCGUGAAGAGAGCUACAUGCCCCUUGUCAUUGUACAUCUGAAGCAGAGAAUAGCUGAACUCACAAAUCAUCUCCAUAUUGUUGAGAUAGCUAUAUGUUCUCAAUUGUAAAUGCCAAGAGUGUGCAAAUCUGUCAUCAAGGCAAAUGGUGGCUACUUUGAAGAAUCUCAAAUAUAAAAUAUAUUUAGAUUUGUUUAACACUUUGAUUACUACAUGAUUCCAUACGUGUUAUUUCAUAGUUUGUCUUCACUAUUAUUCUACAAUGUAGAAAAAUAGUAAAAAUAAAGAAAAAAAACUUGAAUGAGUAUGUGUGUCCAAACUCUUGACUGGUACUGUGUAUAUAUACAUAUAUAUACACCCACACACACAGUGGCAAGAAAAAGUAUGUGAACCCUUUUGGAAUUACCUGGAUUUCUGCAUAAAUUGGUCAUAAAAUUUGACCUGAUCUUCAUCUAAGUCACAACAAUAGACAAGCAGUCUGCUUAAACUAAUAACACACAAUGUGUUUUCAUGUCUUUAUUGAACACACCGUGUAAACAUUCACUGUAGGGUGGAAAAAGUAUGUGAACCCUUGGAUUUAAUAACUGGUUGACCCUCCUUUGGCAGCAAUAACCUCAACCAAAUGUUUUCUGUAGUUGCGGAUCAGACAUGCACAGCGGUCAGGAGGAAUUUUGGACCAUUCAUCUUUACAGAACUGUUUCAGUUCAGCAAUAUUCUUAGGAUGUCUGGUGUGAAUUGCUCGAGGUCAUACCACAGCAUUUUAAAUUGGGAUGAGGUCAGGACUCUGACUGGGCCUCUCCAGAAGGUGUAUUUUCUUCUGUUGAAGCCAUUCUGUUGUUGAUUUACUUCUGUGUUUUGGGUCGUGGUCCUGUUGCAUCACCCAACUUCUGUUGAGCUUCAAUUGGCGGACAGAUAGCCUUACCUUCUCCUACAAAAUGUCUUGAUAAACUUGGGAAUUCAUUUUCCGUCCAUGAUAGCAAGCUGUCCAGGCCCUGAGGCAGCAAAGCAGCCCCAAACCAAAAUGCUCCCUCCACCAUACUUUACAGUUGGGAUUAGCAUGUUCCAGAGAUUUCUGUAAGUCUUUAGCUGACACUCUAGGAAUCUUCUUAACCUCAUUGAGCAUUCUGCACUGUGCUCUUGCAGUCAUCUUUGCUGGACGGCCACUCCUAGGGAGAGUAGCAACAGUGCUGAACUUUCUCCAUUUAUAGACAAUUUGUCUUACUGCAGACUGACGAACAUCAAGGUUUUUAGAGAUACUUUUGUAACCCUUUCCAGCUUUAUAUAAGUUAACAAUUAUUAGGUCUUCUGCGCUCUCUUUUGUUUGAGGCAUGGUUCACAUCAGGCAAUGCUUCUUGUGAAUAGAAAACUCCAAUUUUGUGAGUGUUUUUUAUAGGGCAGGGCAGCUCUAACCAACAUCUCCAAUCUCAUCUCAUUGAUUGGACUCAGGUUAGCUGAAUCCUGACUCCAAUUAGCUUUUGGAAAAGUCAUUAGCCUAGGGGUUCACAUACCUUUUCCAACCUACACUGUGAAUGUUUAAAUGAUGUAUUCAAUACAGACAAGAAAAAUACAACAAUUGGUGUGUUAUUAGUUUAAGCACACUGUGUUUGUCUAUUGCUGUGACUAAGAUCAGAUCAAAUUUGAUAACUAAUUUAUGCAGAAAUCCAGGUAAUUCCAAAGAGUUCACAUACUUUUUUCCCCCACUGUAUAUGUACGCAUGAUCACGCAGCAUCCGGUCAAAAGGGUUGUUAAACCUUGAUGGAGAUUGCAUGGUGGGUUUGCAGUUUACACAGUGUUGUGUAUGUAUUUGCAGAAUAAAC